rnacentral:rRNA from 1 species
GAUGAACGCUGGCGGCGUGCCUAAUACAUGCAAGUCGAGCGAACAGACGAGGAGCUUGCUCCUCUGACGUUAGCGGCGGACGGGUGAGUAACACGUGGAUAACCUACCUAUAAGACUGGGAUAACUUCGGGAAACCGGAGCUAAUACCGGAUAAUAUAUUGAACCGCAUGGUUCAAUAGUGAAAGACGGUUUUGCUGUCACUUAUAGAUGGAUCCGCGCCGGAUUAGCUAGUUGGUAAGGUAACGGCUUACCAAGGCAACGAUGCGUAGCCGACCUGAGAGGGUGAUCGGCCACACUGGAACUGAGACACGGUCCAGACUCCUACGGGAGGCAGCAGUAGGGAAUCUUCCGCAAUGGGCGAAAGCCUGACGGAGCAACGCCGCGUGAGUGAUGAAGGUCUUCGGAUCGUAAAACUCUGUUAUUAGGGAAGAACAAAUGUGUAAGUAACUCUGCACGUCUUGACGGUACCUAAUCAGAAAGCCACGGCUAACUACGUG